rnacentral:rRNA from 1 species
UGGGGAAUCUUCCGCAAUGGACGAAAGUCUGACGGAGCAACGCCGCGUGAGUGAAGACGGCCUUCGGGUUGUAAAGCUCUGUUAUUCGGGAAGAACGAUUCGUUUGUGAACAAUGAACGGAAGUGACGGUACCGAAAGAGAAAGCCACGGCUAACUACGUGCCAGCAGCCGCGGUAAUACGUAGGUGGCAAGCGUUGUCCGGAAUUAUUGGGCGUAAAGAGCGCGUAGGCGGUAUGGUAAGUCUGUCUUAGAAGUGCGGGGCUUAACCCCGUGAGGUGACAGAGACUGUCAUACUGGAGUCUCGGAGAGGAAAGCGGAAUUCCUAGUGUAGCGGUGAAAUGCGUAGAGAUUAGGAAGAACACCGGUGGCGAAGGCGGCUUUCUGGACGAGCACUGACGCUGAGGCGCGAAAGCGUGGGGAGCGAACAGG